rnacentral:rRNA from 1 species
AGUGAACGCUGGCGGUAGGCCUAACACAUGCAAGUCGAACGGCAGCACAGUAAGAGCUUGUUCUUACGGGUGGCGAGUGGCGGACGGGUGAGGAAUACAUCGGAAUCUACUUUUUCGUGGGGGAUAACGUAGGGAAACUUACGCUAAUACCGCAUACGACCUACGGGUGAAAGCAGGGGAUCUUCGGACCUUGCGCGAUUGAAUGAGCCGAUGUCGGAUUAGCUAGUUGGCGGGGUAAGGGCCCACCAAGGCGACGAUCCGUAGCUGGUCUGAGAGGAUGAUCAGCCACACUGGAACUGAGACACGGUCCAGACUCCUACGGGAGGCAGCAGUGGGGAAUAUUGGACAAUGGGCGCAAGCCUGAUCCAGCCAUACCGCGUGGGUGAAGAAGGCCUUCGGGUUGUAAAGCCCUUUUGUUGGGAAAGAAAAGCAGCAGGUUAAUACCCCGCUGUUCUGACGGUACCCAAAGAAUAAGCACCGGCUAACUUCGUG